GAAACCCCGCCCCCUUCCGCCUCGCGCCGGGGACCGCUCUAACGGACAAUGUGGGUCGCGCGCGCCCAGGCGCCGGACGCCUUCCUCCGUGGGGUCUCGUGCGAAGGAGCGAGUGAGAUCAAAUACACCCCCCCCCCCCACCACUUCGAAGAGAGUCGGCCAUUCCACAACAAAACGACAGCCGUUAUGGGAGUUUUAAAUUUUUUUUAACCGACGACGGACAGGAGAUUGACUUAGUUCCCGGCAGUCGCGUUUAAUUUUUUGUUUCGGUCAAUCGUUCGGCACUCGGCACGGACCGCGAGAGAGGUCGCUUGUGAUGGAAUCGUCAUGAACUAUGCGAAUAAAUGUACGGUUCGGCUGUGAAACCCACACGAAAAUACUCCAGAACGGUCCCAUACGUGUGUAUUAAAUUAUGAUGGAGUAGAAACAGUCGCAAAGACCGACCCAAAAUUGCAAAUCUUUAUUUAUUAAUAAUGGCGCGCAUCAAAAUAAAAGCCAUUGUAAGUCCUAAGGACUGUCCAAAUGAGUUUGCACAGAUCCUCGUCGGUUUACUGUUAACGCUUUCCUAAUUAGCCGCAGAGUGUGAUGCAGGUUAAGUUAGACUACAUGCAGGAGAUUAUUGACUUCCAUUAACCUUUUAACAUCAAGUAUUGUAAAGAAAGAAAAGAAAAUCAACUUCAAAGAAAUUGCAAUAAGUCUUUCCAAUCACUUUAUUUUCCUUAAAGAUUUUUGUUUUAUUUUACCUCAUUGUAAAAGCAACAUUAAAAGUUGCAAAUAAAAUCAAAAUUGCAAAGUGAAA